rnacentral:rRNA from 1 species
UACAGAGGCCCCAAGCGUUGUUCGGAUUCAUUGGGCGUAAAGGGUGCGUAGGUGGCGGGGCAAGUCUGGUGUGAAAUCCCGGGGCUCAACCCCGGAACUGCACUGGAUACUGCCUUGCUAGAGCACUGGAGAGGGAACUGGAAUUUACGGUGUAGCAGUGAAAUGCGUAGAUAUCGUAAGGAAGACCAGUGGCGAAGGCGAGUUCCUGGACAGUUGCUGACACUGAGGCACGAAGGCUAGGGGAGCAAACGGG